GAUCAUGGCUCAGGACGAACGCUGGCGGCGCGCCUAACACAUGCAAGUCGAACGAGCGAGAGAGAGCUUGCUCUCUCAAGCGAGUGGCGAACGGGUGAGUAACGCGUGAGGAACCUGCCUCAAAGAGGGGGACAACAGUUGGAAACGACUGCUAAUACCGCAUAAGCCCACGACCCGGCAUCGGGUUGAGGGAAAAGGAGCAAUCCGCUUUGAGAUGGCCUCGCGUCCGAUUAG
rnacentral:rRNA from 1 species